GAUGUGGCAUAGUGGUAGUGCGACUUUCUGCGGCGCAGAAGGUUCCAGGUUCAAUUCCCGGUGGGUCA